CAACCACCUUUGUUUCCAGCAGUUCAGCAGCUCCCCUGUGGACACCUUAACAGCUCAUCGCUGGAUGUUGUACAGAGUGCAACGCUGAGAAGAAAUGGUGAGCGAAGAUGAUUACGAAAUUUGAAUACUGCCACAGGAGUUACAGAGUGUGGACAUCAGCCUGCAGUCAUUCUGGUCAAACUGAUGUUCUGCAGAGGAGGAGUGCAACACUUCCUGUUGCGACGUACCCUGUAUCCUGUUUUCCACAGUCAGUGGUCAUGCGUGUCAUUCUCCUCUGCGAGUCUGUGCGGGCACAAUCUUGUGACCCGCUGUGAAUCUUCUGAUACUGAAUCAAGGGAGACUCCGCAUGUCUGAGAAAAACUCUAAAUGUCAGCAAAAAAAUAUGUAUAAUAGCACAAUUAAUGUAUCCAUGUCAGCUGAGAAAUUACUAUGACUUUAGUCUAACUUGCAAAAAGUGAAUGGAGCAGACUACAGUAAAUAACAGACAUAUUCCAUUGUAUAAUCCCUGUGUUUUUAAGUUUUAAGUAAGCUGUAGCAGCACCAGAAACAGAACCAUUUGAUAACCACCGUACUGUGCUUCCUUCAGAAUAUUAGUAGCCUCUUAAAAUAAGUGCAUGCAAAGACAGAUGAUGAGAACACUGACACCUUCACACAGCAGGCCCUAGGAAGGCCGAACAAUGUGACUGAGUAUUAAGAGGCGCCAAUGUAACAGUUUGCAUGCUUGUGUGUGAGUUUUAACCAUCAGAGAUAUGUAUCUUGUGACUACAUUCAGAUGUAAAGCUGUGAAGUACUCAGUUACACCCUGUGGUGGAACCAAACCAGAAUGCAGUACUUGGUCAGAGCUACUGCAGGUCACAAAUAUGUAACUUCACAGUGUGUCACUUACACUUGAAAAUAAAUAUAACAAUUCUGGCAACUUUA